UAGGGAAUUUUCGUCAAUGGGCGCAAGCCUGAACGAGCAAUGCCGCGUGAGUGAGGAAGGUCUUCGGACUGUAAAGCUCUGUUGCCGGGGAAAAAAGGGGAAAUGCAGGAAAUGGCAUUUCAUGGAUGGUACCCGGCCAGAAAGCCACGGCUAACUACGUGCC
rnacentral:rRNA from 1 species